CGCUGGAGACCCAAAGUCUUCUAAGAACAGUUUGAGACAUUGCUGAGAUCUUGUUUGAAACUCCCAUGGAGACAGAUUUUAGUGUCUUGACAGACCUUAGCACAGUUUGAGUCAUGAGACAGAUCUCGUUUAUAACUUCCAUGGAGAAAAGUGAGAUUAUUUGCAACAAAACUUUGAGAAGCUGGAGAACCAAAGUCUCUAUUUGUUGCUACUGCUGUCGUGGAGGAGAAGAUUUGGUAUCUUGGCAAGUUUGAGACAUUGUUGAGAUCUCUUCUGAAACCCCUGAGGAGAAAGGUGAAUUUUUUUUGCUUUCUUCUGAAGAGAACAUUUCGAGAAGCCGCAGACCCAAAGUCUCUUGAGCACAUUUUGAGACAUUGCUGAGAUGUUGUUUGAGAAAGAUUUUGGUGUCUUGACAGACCUGAGCACAAUCUGAGACAUUGUUGAGAUCUCUUCUGAAACUCCCAAGGAGAAAGAUUUUGGUGUCUUGGUUUGGUGUCUUGGCAGACCUGAGCACAGUUUGAGACAUUGUUGAGAUCUUUUCUAAAA